rnacentral:lncRNA from 10 species
UUGGGGUAUUCUUAAUUAAACUGAAUCUAUUUGGUCUUUAACGUUGUUGUACCUGAAAAGUACUUUCCUCUACAUUUGGAAUGUAUUGUUAUUUCAUUGAAUAAGCUUUACUGCCCUUGCUAUUCCAAAACUACCACUUGAACACCAAUGAUUAUUUAAUUUGCUGUUUGGACGUUAUUCUCUAUAUCCUGUAGCUAUUCUCUAGGCCUUUUCUAUUUCUUUAAUCUCUACAGAUUCUCCAAUACCCUAUCUUUAAGAUCACUGUUUUUUUAUGCUUGAUCCAUUCUGCUAAUGACAUCCUCUAAUAAUUAUUUCAGUUGAAACAAUUAUUUCUCAUUUGCAAUAUUUGUUUGGUGUAUUAUUUCAAUCUCUUCAAGUUUCUAAUACAUUCUUGGAUUCCUUUUCUGCAUUAUCUUGGGUUUUGCUACAUUUCCUUAAAAUUGCAUUUAUGAAUUCUUGAUUCUAGAGUUCAAACAUUACCAUCUCAUUAGGGAUGGCAACUGGCUCCAUGCUUUCUCUGUUCAGGGUAGUCAUGGUUAUUGGCUUGCUGCUGUUUCUUGUAGACGUAUGCCUACAGUUUCACAUUGAACAAUUAAUUAUAUAUUUAUUCCAGUCUCAGCUGUCUAGCUUUUUUUGGUCUUCCUAGAGUAUAUUUUCUUAGAUAUUAUUAUUUGUAGUUCCCUGUCAAGACUACUUAAUCCGUGAGUGCUGCCUGUUUUAGAUUUGACUCAGCUCUCACAAACAUUUGGAGCAUUGCCCAUCCCAUAUAGGGGUCCCAAAGUCAAUCCUCUGGCUGUGCAGGAAGGUUGGAUAGGCAUUUGUGCAAAGAACUAUGAACUCUGCCUACUACAUUAUAGUGCUGCUGAACAGCCACUCUGACUUGGCAUCUAUGUUGUCUGACGUAAAGAAAAUUUUCAGGCUGGAGUUGUGAAUCUCAACUGGCCCAAUUGUCUUUCACUGCCAUCAUGGGAUUUUCUUUCUACAAGCACACACAAUACUUCCCAUGUUUUAAGCUAUUAACAGCUUUUCAACAAGAGAAGCCAAGAUGGUGAAGAAGCUGUGUGCCAAAAUCUCACAUUUAUCCCAUGUUGAACUGGUGAAUGUCGAUAAAAUUUUCCACACAUGAUGGCAGGCACAUAGGAGUCUCAUAAAUACAGAAGAAGCCUUUUAUCAUCUGCUCCAAGUUUUUCACUUCUCUGUAGUCUGAGGAAAUGUCUCAGCCUCGGAUUUCAGUUCUGGGAUAUAACUUGUGAUAAUAUUGGUGCUGGAUAUAUUACUGAGGUUCUAUGGGGGUGAGUAAAACCAGAGUGUUUUUACUCUGAGAUUUUGGUGACCCAUUAUGUUCUUGAUGUCACACCUUACAUAUAUUUAUAUCACAUAUGGCUAAACAAAUUGUUGUAAUUAUUAAUAGUUUUGUAGAUGGACAUCAUGGCAGGUGCCCAUAAUACCGUCUAAUCAGAAGGCUGAGGGGGGAAAAUUGCUUGAGCCCAGAAGUUUCAGACCAGCCUGAGCAACAUAGCAACAGCCAUCUCAUUAAAAAAGUUUUGUGUAUUAACCUUAACAAUAAAGAUAUACGUUAUUUGUACACCACCAUUACAGUAUACCAGUACUGUGAAUUUGAGUUACUUACCUUUUACCAGUCAGUUUUAUACAUUCAUGUUUUUGUGUUAUGCAUGAGCUGCUUCUUUCAAUUUGAAGAAUUCCCUAUAACAUUUCACUUGUUUUAAUGAAUAAUGAGAUAAAAAAGGUUAAGUCUUCAAUAUCUGUGGAUCCGUUAAUAUUUUCAGUUUAUUUUCCAGAUAUAUUAAAAUUCUGUAUAGUUCCAUCCAAAUAUUGGAAUUUAGGAAUCAUCCCAGAUAAUUUUCCCUGUCCUUUAUUUCUCUGUUCCACCCUUCCUUUGGUAAGUGUUCACAUUAUUUAUCAUUUUUCUUUCUCUUGCUUAUAAGCUGUUACUCUCCUGUAUUAAAACCAUUCUUCUAGUUGCUUUACAUAUUUACAUAUUAUGUUAAAAUAAAGACUCACAAAAUGCUGCAAAUAUAGUACCGUUUACACAUACCACUCAAUUUUCCCCAGUGGUGAUAUUUUCCAUUAACAUUGUACAAUAUCACAACCAGCACAUUGUCAUUGGUGAAAUGUGCACAUUUACAUGACAUUUUAUCACAUGUAUACAUUUUUGUAACCACUGCAUGAAUCAGAAUGCAGAACUCAUCCAUCAUUAAAAACGUAUCCCUUCCACUAGUCUUAUAAUCACAUACAACCCUAACUUCUACCAUCCCUAACAGAUGAAUACGAACAAUGUUCUCUAAACUAUUUAACUUCAUCACAUUAAGAUACAUAAAAAUAAGCAUUAUGUUACAACUUGAAAUGGGUUUUUCCUUCAGAAUUGAGAAUCAUCUAAGGCUUAUUUGUAUAGUAGUAGUUUAUUCCUUUUAAUUUUUGAGUUGUAUUACACAAUACGGAAAUAACAGACUUAUUUAACUGUUUACCUGGUGAAUAACAUGUGAGUUGUUUCCAGGUUCUGACUAUUACAAAUAAAAUUUCUGUGAACAGUCAAGUGCAGGUUUGGUCUACACAUAAAUUUUCAUUUCUAUGAAAUAGGCCAUGACAGCAAUUGCUAAGCCUAACUAACUGUAUGUGUGUGUUUAGCUUUAAAAGAAAUUGCCAAAUUAUUUUCCAAUGUGGUAUACAGUUUUAUAUUCCCAUCAGCAAUAAAGAUUCAAUUUUUUCUGCAUGCUUCUCAGCCUUUGGAAUCAUUAUGUUUUAACUAUUUCAGCUACUGAAAUAAAUCUGCUGUAGGCCAGGUGUGGUGGCUCACACCUCUUAAUUCCAGCACUUUGGGAGGCUGAGUCACUGAGCCCAGCCCAUGGCUAUUACAAAGUCAAAAACAAACAAACAAACAAACAAAAAAACAGAUUCUGGUGAAGUUACAGAGAAAAAGGAAUGCUUAUACACUGUUGGUAGGAGUAUUAGGAUUACAGGCGUGAGCCUCCACUUCCAGCCGUCCACAAUCUAUUGAGAUGACCAUGUUGUUUUCUUCCUUCAGUCUGUUGCACUAAUCAUUUCCAGCUGAUGAAAUAACGUUGCAUUCCAGGGAUACACUGUACUGGGUACUGGUGUACAUUCCUGUUUAUAUGUUACUGUAUUUGGUUUGCCAAAAUUUACUAGGAAAUUUCACAGAUCCACUCAUAAGCGAUAUUAUCAGAGUUUUCCCUGUGUAUGAUGUUUCACUUUGGUAUCUAGAUAACAAUAGCAUCAUAGAACCAGUAAAAAAUAUUACAUGCUCUUCCAAGUUUUUAAGACAUUUUUAUCGAAUUGGUAAUUUUCAUGUGUUUGGUAUAAUAUACAAAAGAAUACAUUUGAACUGGGAAUUUACAUGUGUGUCAGGGGCAGGGGUGAGAGUUUUUAAAUUACCAAUUUAUUGUCUUCACUUUGUUCUUGAAUGAGUUGUGGUAGUCAGUGUCUUUCUAGGAAUUUGUCUACUUCCACAAAGAUAUUUGUCAAAAUACUAAUCCCUUGUAUGGAAUAAGGUCAUUAGGAACAUCACGUUUUACAUUUCUCAUUUUAAUAAAGCUUUAUUUUAUGAAUAAGUCAACGAAGUGCUGUGUUUCUCAAUUAUUUUUAAUUCUCUAUUUCCACACUAAACUUUAUAUCCUUUCUGCUUUGAUUUUAAUUUGUUCUUUUUUUACUGUAUUUUCUAAAGUUGGAAAGUUAGGUUAGUAAUUUGAAGUACUUCUCAUUUCAUUACAAUGUUCAUAGCUAUUAAUUUCACUGUAAGCGUUGCUUUCACACAUCUCACAGAAUUUGAUAUGUUGUUUCUGUAUUUUCAUUCACCUCAAAGUAUUUUCUGAUUUCCUUAUAAAUUCUCCUUUGACUUGUUGGUUACGUAACUUUUUUUUUUUUUUUUUUUUUUUGACAGUCUUUGUCGCCCAGGCUGCAGUGCAGUGGUGUGAUCUCGGCUCACUGCCACCUCUGCCUCCUAGGCUCAAGUGAUUCUAGUGCCUCAGCCACCCGAGUAGCUGGGACUACAGGCGCACACCACCACAUCUGGCUAAUUUUCUGUAUUUUUAGUAGAGACAGGGUUUCACCAUGUUGGCCAGGCUGGUCUCCAACUCCUGACUUCAAGUGAUCCACCCUCCCCGGCCUCCCAAAGUGCUGGGAUUACAGGUGUGAGCCACCACACUCAGCAUAACUUUUUAAAUUUGCACAAAUAUGUAUAGUUCCUAUCUCUGUGUUAUUUCUAAUUUCAUUAAAUUUUAGUCAUAGAACAUAUUUUGUAUAAUUUCAAUAUUUUUAACCUUCAUUUGGUUUGUUUUGUAUGAUGUUAGUGCAGACAUUCCAGUUUUUUUGUGGUUGCUACUUGGAUAUUUCUAUUUCCAUCCUAUUUCUUUCAACACUUUUGUAUUUUAUAAACUGCCUACAACAGACACCUUAUAGUUUGAUUGUUUUUUAAAUAUCCACUUGGUCAAUCAGACUGGUUUGGAUUGCUUGAUCCAUCAGUACAGCUGGAUUUAAAUUUUCCAUUAUACAUUUUAAAAUUCUAUGUCUAUCUUCUUUUACAGAAUCCCUCCUAUACUACUUUUUAUAAGUUAAUAUUUUCUAAAAUAAUGUAUUAUUAUCUUUAACGAUUUUUCCCUCUAUUAUAUGAAAAUCCUUUUUAGUGGUUGCAGUAGGGCUUUUUUUUAUAAUUGACAAGUAAUAAUUGUAUAUAAUUCCAGGGAACUAUCUGAUGUUUUUGUAUGUAUACAUAGUGUAAUAACUAAAUCAAGCACAUUAACAUAUCCAUAACUUCACCUACUUUUGUUGUGACAACUUUAAUAUCUACUUAUAACAAUUUUAAAAUAUACAGUCAGUGACAAUGGUCACCAUGCUGUGAAAUAUGUCUAAAACUUAUUCCUCCUAACAGAAAAUUGGUACUCUUUGACCAACGUCUUGCCUUUGCCCAUCUCUCCAACACCCACAUCCUGGAAACCAUAACAUCCAACUUUCUACUUGUAUGAGUUAGCCUUUCUUAGAUUCCACAUACAAAUAUAAUGUAGUAUUUGCCUCUCUGUGCCUGUCUUACAACACUUAGCAUAGUAUACUACAGAUUCAUCCAUGUUGUCACAAAUGACAAUUUUCCUUCUUUUCCAAGGAUAAAAAAUAUUCCAAUAUGUAUAUACAACACAUCUUCUAUGUCCAUUCAUCUGUUAUGAAAACUUAAGUCUUUUCCAUUUAUUAGCUUUGUAAAUAAUUUCAAAAUAAGGGAGUGCAAGAUCUCAACAUACUGCUUCAAUUCCUUUGGAUAUAUACCUAAGUAGAGAUUGCUAGAUCAUAUAGUAAUUGUACUUUUAGUUUCUUAAGGAACCACCAUAUAGUUUCCUAAAUUGGCUAUACUAAUUUAUAUUCCCACUAACAGAAUGUUGGGACUUCCUUUUAUCCACAUCCUUGCCAGCACCUGUCUUUCAUCCUUUUAAUAAUAGCCAUUCUAAAAGGUGUAAGGUAAUAUCUUGCAGUUUUGAUUUGCAACUCACUAAUGAUUAGAGAUGUUGAGCAUUUUUUUCAUGUAUCAAUCAAUUGGCCACUCAUGUCUUCCUCUGAAAAAUUUAAGUUGAGGUCCUUUUCCCCCUUUUAAAGACAGUUGUUUUCUUGCUAUUGGGCUUGGGUUUCUUAAUACAUUUUGGAUAUUAGCCCCUUAUCAGAUAUAUGAUUUGAAAAUGGUUUCUCAAAACCCGUGUCUUCAUUCUGUUAACUGUACCCUUUGCAGUGCAGAUGCUUUUUAGUUUGAUGCAACUCAAGUUGUCUGUUGCGGGAAGUCAGGGACCCCAAACGGAGGGACUGGCUGAAGCCAUGGCGGAAGAACGUGGAUCGUGAAGAUUUCAUGGACAUUUAUUAGUUCCCCAAAUUAAUACUUUUAUAAUUUCUUAUGCCUGUCUUUACUGCAAUCUCUAAACAUAAAUUGUGAAGAUUUCAUGGACACUUAUCACUUCCCCAAUCAAUACCCUUGUGAUUUCCUAUGCCUGUUUUAAUCUCUUAAUCCUGUCAUCUCGUAAGCCGAGGAGGACGUAUGUCGCCUCAGGACCCUGUGAUAAUUGUGUUAAGUGCAGAAAUUGUAGAGCAUGUGUGUUUAAACAAUAUGAAAUCUAGGCACCUUGAAAAAAGAACAGGAUAACAGCAAUGUUCAGGGAAUAAGAGAGAUAACCUUAAACUCUGACCGCCGGUGAGCCAGGCGGAACAGAGCCAUAUUUCUCUUCUUUCAAAAGCAAAUGGGAGAAAUAUCGCCGAAUUCUUUUUCUCAGCAAGGAACAUCCCUGAGAAAGAGAAUGUGCCCCUGAGGGUGGGCCUCUAAAAUGGCCCCCUUGGGUGUAGCUGUCUUCUAUGGUCGAGACUGUAGGGAUGAAAUAAGCCCCAGUCUCCCAUAGCGCUCCCAGGCUUAUUAGGACGAGGAAAUUCCCACCUAAUAAAUUUUGGUCAGACAGGUUGCUCUCAAACCCUGUCUCCUGAUAAGAUGUUAUCAAUGACGAUGGUGCCCGAAACUUCAUUAGCAAUUUUAAUUUCAACCCAGUCCUGUGGUCCUGUGAUCUCGCCCUGCCUCCAUUUGCCUUGUGAUAUUCUAUUACCUUGUGAAGCACGUGAUCUCUGUGACCCACCUCCUAUUCGUAUACUCCCUCCCCUUUGAAAAUCCCUAAUAAAAACUUACUGGUUUUACGGCUCAGGGGGCAUCACGGAACCUACCGACAUGUGAUGUCUCCCCAGGAUGCCCAGCUUUAAAAUUUCUCUCUUUUGUACUCUGUCCCUUUAUUUCUCAACCCGGCCAAUGCUUAGGGAAAAUAGAAAAGAACCUAUGUGACUAUCUGGGCAGGUUCCCUGAUAGUUGUCUGGCUGUUUUUGCUGCCCAUGCUUUUAAGGAUGUAUCCAAGAAAUCAUUGCCCAGAACAACAUCAUAGAGCUUUUCCCCUAUAUUUUCUACUAGUAGUUUUACAGUUUCAAAGGCAACAUUUCAGGCUUUAAUCCAUUUUGAGUUGAUUUUUCUAUAUGCUAUGAGAAAAUGGUUCAAUUUCACAUAUAGAUAUACAGAUAUCUCAAAACAAUUUAUUUAUUUAUUUGUCCUCUCCCCAUUCUGUGUGCCACUUUUGUCAAAAAUCAAUUGGAUGGAAAUGUAUGAGUUAUGUCUGGGCUUUCCUGUUCCACUGGUCAGUGAAUCUGUUUUUAUGCUGGUACCACAGUUUUUUGAUAAUGGAUUACAAAAUCAGGUAGAGUGAUGCCUCCAGCUGUGUCCUUGUUGCUCAAGAUUACUUUGAUUAUUUAAUGUCUUUUGUAGUUCCAUACAAGUUUUAGAAUUUUUUUUGUAUUUCUGUAAAAAAAAUAAAAAUAAAAAGGACAUUGAAAUAUUGAUUACACAGAAUCUGUAUGUUUCUUUUGGCAGUAUGAAAAUUAUAACAAUAUAAAUUUCCCAAUCCAUGUACAAAGAAAAAUUUCUAUUUUUGUAAUCUUCAAUUCGUUUCAUCAAUGUUUUCACUAUACAGAUCUUUAACCUACUUGGUUAAAUUCAUUCAUAAGUUUGUUUACUUAGUAAAUAGUGUAAAUGUGAUUAGUUUCCUGAUUACUUUUUUGGAUAGAUUGUUGUUUGUUAGUGUAUAGAAAUGCUACAGACUUAAUUGUCAAUUUUGUACGUAGCACUUUUUAUGGAAUUCAUUUUAUUAGUUCUAUAGUUUUUUUUUUUUUAAUGGAGUCUUUAAGGUUUUCUAGCUAUAAGAUAAGAUAAUCAGGAGAGGCAAGUUUUUUCUUCUUUUCCUACUUAGAUGUCUUUUAUUUCUCUUGCCUAAAUGCUCUUGCUAUGACUUCCAGUACAACACUGAACAGAAGGAGAAAAAAUGGCAUCCAUGUCUUGUUCCUGAUCUUAGAGAAAAAGCCUUCAACUCUUCGGUGUUAAGAUUUCAGCUCUGGGCCGGUCAUAUAGGGCCUUUAAUGUGUUGAGACAUCUUCCUUUUAUACCUAACUUGUUCAGGUUUUUAUCAUGCAAAGAUGUUAAGUAUUGGGCCGGGGACUGUGGCUCAUGCCUGUAAUCCCAGCACUUUGGGAGGUCAAGGAGGGUGGAUCACCUGAGGUUAGGGGUUCAAGACCAACCUAGCCAACAUGGUGAAACCCUGUCUCAACUAAAAAUACAAAAGUUAGCUAGGCAUGGUGGCAGAUGCCUGUAAUCCCAGCUGCUCGGGAGGCUGAGGCAGGAGAACCCAGGAGGCAGAGGUUGCAGUGAGCCAAGAUAGUGCCACCACACUCCAACCUGGGUGACAGAGCAAGACUCUGUCUCCGAAAAAAAAAAAAAAAAAAAAGGUUGUUAAAUAUUGUCAAUUCUUUUUCUGGAAGUAUUGAGACAUGUAGUUUUUGAUGUUCACUUUAAUGUGAUCUAUCAAAUUUAUUGAUUUAUGUAUGUUUAACCAUCCUUAAAUGCAAAAGGUUAUCUCCCCAUGUGAUCAUGGGAAAAUGAUCUUUUAAAUUUGUUGUUGAAUUCAGUUUGCUGGUAUUUUGUUGGGGGUUUCUGCAUCUAUGUUCAUCAGGGAUAUUGGCCUGUAAUUUUGUAUUCUUUUAGUGUCUUCAUCUGACUUUGGUAUCAGGUUAACGUUGGCCUCAUAAAGUGUGAUUGGAACUUAUUCCCUCCUCUUCAACUUUUAUAAAGAGUAUGAAAAGGAUUGAUAUUAGCUUUUCUUUAACUCUUUUCCCAUUUAGGAAAAAAAAAGGGCAGCUCGCUGCCAGGACUUAAAUAUUUUACAUAAACAUGCGCUUUGAGGCUGAUGCAAAUCUGACUGAUUUUCAAUGUGAAAAUAAAAUACAAAAACUGUUCUUGGAGUUAUUUCUAAACAGAACAUCACAAUCAUCGGAAUUGUCUAUUUCUGAAGAAAAUCAAUGCAUCUUUGGACAAUAACUGUUCAAGAAUAUUAACAUCAUACACAGGAAUACUAUGUUUUCUAGAAUUUGACAUUUUCAGUGAUUGAGAGUUACUAUACUUUGUAAAUGGAAAUACCACUACUAAAGACAGAAUGCUAUAAAUAGAAAAAUGUGUUUUGCUUCCAAAGUCAAUAUACUAGAGCAAUACGAAAAUAAUGAAAGCAAGAUAUUUUGUAGCAAAGUUAUCUCAGGGUAAAUGCUACAGCCACAAGGGCCACCAGCGAGUUUGGGGCAAACGGGAAAAGGGUUAAACAUCUGUAGAAUUCAGAAGGGAAUCUAUAAGUUCCUGGUUUUAUGAGAAACUUUUAAUUAUUGAUUCAGCCUUCUUACUCACUAUUGGACUGUCUUUUUACUUAUUUUAUUGUUCAUUGCUUAAUUUUUUUAGUUUAUCAAAAUAUCCCCUCAGUUUUGUUGGUAUUUUCUAUUAUUUUUCUAGUCUCAUUUAUACUAUAAUCUUUGUUACGUUCUUCUUUUAGUUCUCUUAGGUAUAACAUUAAAUUGUUUGAGCUAUUUCUUCUUUGUACUUCUAGACAUUUAUUGCUAAAAUUUCCCUCUAGGAAUUGCUUUUCUUGCAUAUUAUAAGUUUUGGUAUUUUGUGUUUCCAUUUUUGUUUUUCUGAAAAUAACUUUUAAUUUCUUCCUUGAACCACUGAUUGAUAUGUUAUUUAAUUUCCAUGUGCUUGUGAAUAUUCUAAAAUUCCUCCUAUAACUGAUUUCUAGUUUCAUACCAUUAUGGUCAGAAAAGAUAUUCAAUAUUACUUCAAUCUUUUAAAAUUUCUUAAGACUUCUUUUGUGACCUAACGUAUGAUUUACUCUGGAGAAUAUUCUGUGUGCACUUUUGAAAAACGUGUAUUCCACUGCUGUUGAACAGAAGACUGCAUCAAUGUCUUUUAGGUCCAUAUGGGCAACUUUGGUUUUCAAUUGUGGUUUAAGUCUGAUGUCUCAUUGAUGUUCUGUCUGAAUGAUCUCACCAUUGCUUAAAGAGGUGUGCUGAAGUCCCAUCAAUUAUUGUAUUAGAUUUUAUAUUUUCCUUCAAAGCUUUUAAUAUUGGCUUUAUAUAUUUAGGUGCUGUAAUGUUGAGUGCAUAUACCUUUAUGACUUUUAUACCCCAUGGAUGAACAGACCACUUUUUAUCAUUAUAUAAUGACCCUGUCUCUGCUUAAAAAUUUUUACUUUAAUUCUAUUUCAUCUGAUGUAAAUAUUAAGAGAUCUGCCUCUGCUCUCUGUUAGUUUCCAUUUACAUGGCAUAUCUGUCCAUCCUUUCACUUUCAAUUUAUAUGUAUCCUUAAAAAUGAACUGUCUUGUAGGCAACAUAUAGAUGAGACUUUUCAAAAUCCAUUCAUCCACUUUAUGUACUUUGAUUAGAGAAUUUAAUCUAUUUACAUUCAAAGCACUUAUUGACAGGUAAAGAAUUUCUGCUGUCAUUUUGCAAUUUGUUUUCUGGUUGAUUACAAAUUCUUUGCUUUUCUCUUCCUUUCUUGCUGUUUUUUUAUGUGAUUCAAUGUUUUCCUUUUUAUAUUUUGCAUAUCUACUUUCUUUUUAUAUUUUGCAUAUCUACUAAGGGUUUUUUGCAAACGUUGUGGUUACCAUGAACCUUAAACAGUCUCUUACACUUAUGAGACUAUUUUAAAUUAAUACAACUAAAAUUAGAUCAAUUACUCAAAUGCUAUGCUUUUACUUUCAACCCCACAUUGUGUUCCUGAUGACACAAUUUAUAUCAUUUUAUAAUUUGUAUAAUUUAAAUUAUUGUUGCUACAAGUUAAGUUUUGUCUUAACUUUUAUGAUAAAUACAUAAUUUGUUUUCACACCACCGUUACAGUAUUAGCAUAUUCUCAGUUUGACUGUGUACUUUUUCUGUUUUGAGAUGGAGUCUUGCUCUGUCACCCAGGCUGGAGUGCAGUGGUGCCAUCUCGGCUCAGUGCAACCUCCACCUCCCAGGUUCAAGCGAUUCUCCUGCCUCAGCCUCCAGAGUAGCUGGCAUUACAGGCACAUACCACCACGCCUGGCUAAUUUUUGUAUUUUUAGUAAAGACGAUGUUGUGCCAUGUUGGCCAGGCUGGUCUCGAACUCCUGACCUCAGGUGAUGUGCCUGCCUCGGCCUCCCAAACUGCUAGGAUUACAGGCGUGAGCCACCGCACCCAGCCAACUAUGUACUUACUUUUAUCAGCGAGUUUUAUACUCACGUUUUCAUGUUUCUAAUUAGCACUCUUUUACUACAGCUUGAAGGACUCCCUUUAGCAAUUCUUCCCGUGCAGGUCUAGUGGUGGUAAACUCCCACAUCUUUU